rnacentral:rRNA from 1 species
CAAUAGCGUAUAUUAAAGUUGUUGCGGUUAAAAAGCUCGUAGUUGGAUUUCUGCCGAGGACGACCGGUCCGCCCUCUGGGUGAGCAUCUGGCUCGGCCUGGGCAUCCUCUUGGAGAACGUAGCUGCACUUGACUGUGUGGGGCGGUAUCCAGGACUUUUACUUUGAGGAAAUUAGAGUGUUUCAAGCAGGCAUCCGCCUUGAAUACAUUAGCAUGGAAUAAUAAGAUAGGACCUCGGUUCUAUUUUGUUGGUUUCUAGAGCUGAGGUAAUGAUUAAUAGGGAUAGUUGGGGGCAUUCGUAUUUAACUGUCAGAGGUGAAAUUCUUGGAUUUGUUAAGACGGACUACUGCGAAAGCAUUUGCCAAGGAUGUUUUCAUUGA